rnacentral:rRNA from 1 species
AGAGUUUGAUCAUGGCUCAGAACGAACGCUGGCGGCGUGGAUUAGGCAUGCAAGUCGUGCGAGAAAGGGUGGCAACACCCGAGUACAGCGGCGAACUGGUGAGUAACAGGUGGGUAAUGUGCCCUGAAGUGGGGGAUAACACCGGGAAACCGGUGCUAAUACCGCAUGUGACUCCCGGGUCUUCGGACCUGAGAGUUAAAGCAGUAGUGCGCUUCAGGAUCGGCCCGCCCCCGAUUAGCUAGUUGGUGAGGUCAGAGCUCACCAAGGCGACGAUCGGUAGCUGGUCUGAGAGGAUGGUCAGCCACACUGGGACUGAGAUACGGCCCAGACUCCUACGGGGGGCAGCAGUCUAGAGGCUUCGGCAAUGGGGGCAACCCUGACCGAGCGACGCCGCGUGUGGGAUUGAAGGCCUUCGGGUUGUAAACCACUGUCAUUGGGGAAGAAUGCCCGCCUGGCGAAGGCGGGAGGGACGGUACCCAAGAAGGAAGCCCCGGCUAACUCCGUGCCAGCAGCCGCGGUAAUACGGAGGGGGCAAGCGUUGUUCGGAUUUACUGGGCGUAAAGGGUGUGUAGGCGGCCGCGCAAGUCUGGUGUGAGAUCUUCACCGCUUAACGGGAAGAGUGCACUGGAAACUGCGCGGCUCGAGUGUGGUAGAGGCUGGCGGAAUUCCUGGUGUAGCGGUGGAAUGUGUAGAUAUCAGGAAGAACACCGGUGGCGAAGGCGGCCAGCUGGGCCACUACUGACGCUGAGACACGAAAGCGUGGGGAGCAAACGGGAUUAGAUACCCCGGUAGUCCACGCUGUAAACGGUGCGCACUAGGUGUGAGGGGUAUCGACCCCCCUUGUGCCGCAGCAAACGCAUUAAGUGCGCCGCCUGGGGAGUACGGCCGCAAGGUUGAAACUCAAAGGAUUUGACGG